rnacentral:rRNA from 1 species
CCUGGCUCACGUUGAACGCUAGCUACAGGCUUAACACAUGCAAGUCGAGGGGUAGCAUGGUCUUAGCUUGCUAAGGCCGAUGGCGACCGGCGCACGGGUGAGUAACACGUAUCCAACCUGCCGUCUACUCUUGGACAGCCUUCUGAAAGGAAGAUUAAUACAAGAUGGCAUCAUGAGUCCGCAUGUUCACAUGAUUAAAGGUAUUCCGGUAGACGAUGGGGAUGCGUUCCAUUAGAUAGUAGGCGGGGUAACGGCCCACCUAGUCUUCGAUGGAUAGGGGUUCUGAGAGGAAGGUCCCCCACAUUGGAACUGAGACACGGUCCAAACUCCUACGGGAGGCAGCAGUGAGGAAUAUUGGUCAAUGGGCGAGAGCCUGAACCAGCCAAGUAGCGUGAAGGAUGACUGCCCUAUGGGUUGUAAACUUCUUUUAUAAAGGAAUAAAGUCGGGUAUGGAUACCCGUUUGCAUGUACUUUAUGAAUAAGGAUCGGCUAACUCCGUGCCAGCAGCCGCGGUAAUACGGAGGAUCCGAGCGUUAUCCGGAUUUAUUGGGUUUAAAGGGAGCGUAGAUGGAUGUUUAAGUCAGUUGUGAAAGUUUGCGGCUCAACCGUAAAAUUGCAGUUGAUACUGGAUAUCUUGAGUGCAGUUGAGGCAGGCGGAAUUCGUGGUGUAGCGGUGAAAUGCUUAGAUAUCACGAAGAACUCCGAUUGCGAAGGCAGCCUGCUAAGCUGCAACUGACAUUGAGGCUCGAAAGUGUGGGUAUCAAACAGGAUUAGAUACCCUGGUAGUCCACACGGUAAACGAUGAAUACUCGCUGUUUGCGAUAUACUGCAAGCGGCCAAGCGAAAGCGUUAAGUAUUCCACCUGGGGAGUACGCCGGCAACGGUGAAACUCAAAGGAAUUGACGGGGGCCCGCACAAGCGGAGGAACAUGUGGUUUAAUUCGAUGAUACGCGAGGAACCUUACCCGGGCUUAAAUUGCAGAUGAAUUACGGUGAAAGCCGUAAGCCGCAAGGCAUCUGUGAAGGUGCUGCAUGGUUGUCGUCAGCUCGUGCCGUGAGGUGUCGGCUUAAGUGCCAUAACGAGCGCAACCCUUGUUGUCAGUUACUAACAGGUUCCGCUGAGGACUCUGACAAGACUGCCAUCGUAAGAUGUGAGGAAGGUGGGGAUGACGUCAAAUCAGCACGGCCCUUACGUCCGGGGCUACACACGUGUUACAAUGGGGGGUACAGAGGGCCGCUACCACGCGAGUGGAUGCCAAUCCCCAAAACCUCUCUCAGUUCGGACUGGAGUCUGCAACCCGACUCCACGAAGCUGGAUUCGCUAGUAAUCGCGCAUCAGCCACGGCGCGGUGAAUACGUUCCCGGGCCUUGUACACACAGCCC